GUCAUUCGCUGCAGAUGACAGGGCAGAGUGCUGCAGUUUCCUCCCGAAGCCUGGCUCCAUCACUCCCUCAACAAUGGCAGCAUCACCCACCAGGUGAUCCGACCCAAUGGCGGGGACCCUCGGGGACACGGGGAUUCAUGCCCCCUGACAGCUUCACCCAGUCCUGAGGGCUGGCAACAAGACUCUGCCGUCCUUAAGUCAAGACCUGGCUCUGGCCUUUCCUUCCCUGUGUCCUCCCAUACAGGCUGCAUUGCAGUUAUUUGCUGUUCCCCAGGAGGCGGACUGUACAGUAGAAAUCUCUCAAAUGCUGCAUUUGGGUACUUAUCUCUGGCCCGAGCUGAGAAGGGAAACAUUCAGAUCAGAUUCCUCAUGAUUCUGGAUCUGAACUCAUCUGCUUUAUUACGGCUUUGAGGGCUCAAGGACUUACCAGCUGCACAGGCGACCAUGGGCAAGCAAGGGAUGAAAUGAGUCUGCAGAAGAGGUGUGACCUUCCGCCUUUGUGCUGGUCUCAAAGGAGAGGUGACAGGCUGCCGAUAGCCUAGAAGGAGGAUGUUAUCCUUAUUCAAUAAUAAAUCCCAGACUGACAGCUCAAUCCUAGUUUGCCUCUGAUUAAUUUUUUAUGCUUAGGGAUUAAAAUAUUUAAACAUGAUGUGUCUAUCAAAACUAUUUAAUAAAACUAUCCUAUUAAUUUAGGAAAAGUGACAAUUUCUAUAACAUGGUUAUGAACAUUUUCUGCGGUCAAUACAACUAAUUGGGAUAAUCUAUUUCUUUGCUUUGAAAAUGACUACAUAAUCAAAAUGACUGGUUUACAAAAAUUAAAAAUACAUAAAAAAAGAAAAGUAUCCAGAGCCCAUCAGUAGAGAUUUGUGAUUCAGUUGAUAAAAACUAGGGUUCAGGAAUAUGCAUUUUAAUUCAUUUAAGCUGAUUUUGAUGUGGGUGAUCAAAACAAACAUUUAAAUACAGCCUCUAAGGCCUUUUGCAAUUUUAACCCUCUCUUCUGUUCUAGUUUAUCACAAUUCCUAUCGCCCACUUACAGAAUGCAUGGUGACUUACAAAAUCUAGUGUGCUCAAUGAGUAUAAUUUUAUUUGAAAUCCAAGCUCGCUGGGUGCUGGAAUUGGUUAGAAAAGAUUCCAGUCAUCAUAGUAUAUUACAGCAUUCUGCUGGCUGCAUGUGGUAGUCUUGUCACUGUUUCAGGUUACUUUGAUGGUUGGACUGAAUGAUUCCCACCACUACAAGAUUCUAUGAUUCUGAUUCUAAUUCUAUCAUAUUAUUGGGUCUUGGUUACUUGGCUAAACAU
rnacentral:lncRNA from 1 species